rnacentral:rRNA from 1 species
UAGGGAAUCUUCGGCAAUGGGGGGAACCCUGACCGAGCAACGCCGCGUGAGUGAAGAAGGUUUUCGGAUCGUAAAGCUCUGUUGUUAAGGAAGAACGAGUGUGAGAAUGGAAAGUUCAUACUGUGACGGUACUUAACCAGAAAGGGACGGCCAACUACGUGCCAGCAGCCGCGGUAAUACGUAGGUCCCGAGCGUUGUCCGGAUUUAUUGGGCGUAAAGCGAGCGCAGGCGGUUAGAUAAGUCUGAAGUUAAAGGCAGUGGCUCAACCAUUGUAGGCUUUGGAAACUGUUUAACUUGAGUGCAGAAGGGGAGAGUGGAAUUCCAUGUGUAGCGGUGAAAUGCGUAGAUAUAUGGAGGAACACCGGUGGCGAAAGCGGCUCUCUGGUCUGUAACUGACGCUGAGGCUCGAAAGCGUGGGGAGCGAACAGGAUUAGAUACCCUGGUAGUCCACGCCGUAAACGAUGAGUGCUAGGUGUUAGGUCCUUUCCGGGACUUAGUGCCGCAGCUAACGCAUUAAGCACUCCGCCUGGGGAGUACGACCGCAAGGUUG